rnacentral:rRNA from 1 species
UCUUUAAACCUAAAGAAUUUGGCGGUGUUUUAGUCUAUUCAGAGGAAUUUGUCCCGUAAUCGAUAAUCCUCGUUUUAAUCGUUCUUAAUUUUGUUAUCAGUAUGUAUACCGCCGUAUAUUGUUUAUUUUUAUAGAAUUUUAAAUUUACAAUAUUCUUUAGUUAGAUUUAUUUCAGGUCAAGGUGCAGCUAAUAUUUAAGAGGAGAUGAAUUACAAUAUUAUUUGAAUAUAAUGGAUGUAUAGAUUGAAAGUUUUGAUUUAUUUGAAAGUGGAUUUGUUAGUAAUUUUAUUUAUAGAGAUUUUUUGAUUUAUAGCUCUAAAAUGAGUACACAUCGCCCA